AGUCCCGUAACGAGCGCAACCCUUGUCCUUAGUUACCAGCACGUAAUGGUGGGAACUCUAAGGAGACUGCCGGUGACAAACCGGAGGAAGGUGGGGAUGACGUCAAGUCAUCAUGGCCCUUACGGCCAGGGCUACACACGUGCUACAAUGGUCGGUACAAAGGGUUGCCAAGCCGCGAGGUGGAGCUAAUCCCAUAAAACCGAUCGUAGUCCGGAUCGCAGUCUGCAACUCGACUGCGUGAAGUCGGAAUCGCUAGUAAUCG
rnacentral:rRNA from 1 species